CAGAGCGUGGCUAAGUUAGAAAAGCGUCCCCCUUACACUGAGAAGACACCCGUGCAAAUCGGGUCGCCCUGA
rnacentral:tRNA from 1 species